AACAGCUCAUUUUUCAUUCCUGCAAUCCCAUUCUCCAUGAAGUCAGGCUUCUUGGCAGGCCCAGACACAGUGAGAACAUGGUCAAGAGCUUAGAGCAGGUGGAAGCCAGUGCUUCGAGCCUCCCACAGUGGCCUCCGUUCCAUCCUACUCAAGAUCUUCAUUAAAAAUAGCACACUACAGGACAGCUCAACCUGAUGCUGUAAGUAGAAUCCGAAACAACUUUAGAUAUGUGGAUAUUUAAAGAAAAUGUUCCUGUUGACAUUUGAUUUUGCUGCACAUCACUCGGUUACUGGCAGACAUGAAGGAAGCCAGCACGGUGGACAGAAAUGGGCCAGGAGCUCUGGCUGGGAAGAUCGCAGCUCACAGGCUCUCUCUCGAACCUGCUGAACUUCCAAGAGCAACACACGACCUCUCUGAGCCUCAGUGUCCUUGCAUAUUGAAUAGAGGCAAUGAUGACUCCCCUCUGCGGUCAUGACU